CAGCGGAUCCUUAACAUGACGCCACGUGUCCCUCAAUGUCCCCAGCAGGGUCCCGUGGGUCCCCAGUGUGUCCCUCUGUGUCCCCAGCAGAACCCCAUGGUCCCCAGCAGGUCCCUAUUGUCCCCAGAGCGUCCCUAAACAUCCCUAACAGAACCCUAUGAGUCCUAGAAGGUCCCUAUGGUCCCCGGUGUGUUCCUCCAUGUCCCCAGCAGAACCCUGUGGUCCCCAGCAGGUCCCUAUUGUCCCCAGAGCAUCCCUUAACAUCCCUAACAGGACCCUAUAGUUCCUAGAAGGUCCCUAUGGUCCCCAACAUGUCCCCCACACUGUUGUCCCCAGUGUGUCUCUCUAUGUCCCUAAGAGAUCCCCAUGGUCCCUACCAGGUCCUUGUUGUCCCUUGUGUGCCCCUCCACUGCCCCCGUACCCCCACAGAUGUGGGGGGGGGUUACAAUGGGGGUCAGCAGCACCCACCUGCACCUGCUGGCUCUCAUCCUGCACCCGCAGCUGCACCAGGAGGGCGAAGACCUUCUGCCGCCAUCGCCCCAGCAGCGCCUGCAGCCGGGGGGGGGGCAGCUGGGAACAGAUGGGGGGGGACACGUGGGUGCUGUGGGAACACAAUGCGCCCCCCCCACCCCCACAGCAUCUCCGGAUGCACCAGGACCCUCCCUAUGACACCCAGGACCCCUCACGGCACUUCAAGACCCCCAGAUGACCCAAGGCCCCCCCCAAAAUAGCACCCAUGACUUCUCCCUGUAACAAUAUGCUUCCUGACCCCCCCACAACACCCCGGGCCUCUCCCGUUACACCCCAGGACUGCCCAUCAGACCACCCCCAAACCACCCCCAUCCCUCUAUACCCUGACCACGACACCCAGACCCCUCCCAGAUCCCCAUGUCCCCCCCCCCUCUACCCCAAU
ensembl:lncRNA